rfam:Bacteroidetes bacterium GWE2_42_42 gwe2_scaffold_74, whole genome shotgun sequence.
AAAAAAGCCCUUUUCAGGGCUAAUCAAUAUAUUCAAGAAUUUAACA